UGAUUGUAGCGAAAGAGGAAGGGACGGCUAACUCUGUGCCAGCAGCCGCGGUAAUACAGAGGUCCCAAGCGUUGUUCGGAUUCACUGGGCGUAAAGGGUGCGUAGGUGGUCGGAUAAGUCUGAUGUGAAAUCUCCGAGCUCAACUCGGAAAAUGGCAUUGGAUACUAUUCGGCUGGAGGGUUGGAGGGGGGACUGGAAUACUUGGUGUAGCAGUGAAAUGCGUAGAUAUCAAGUGGAACACCAGUGGCGAAGGCGAGUCCCUGGACAACUCCUGACACUGAGGCACGAAAGCUAGGGGAGCAAACAGGAUUAGAUACCCUGGUAGUCCUAGCCGUAAACGGUGCAUAUUUGCUGUAAAAGGAAUCGACCCCUUUUGUGGCGAAGCUAACGCGAUAAAUAUGCCGCCUGGGAAGUACGGUCGCAAGAUUAAAACUCAAAGAAAUUGUCGGGGGCCUGCACAAGCGGUGGAGUAUGUGGCUUAAUUCGAUGCAACGCGAAGAACCUUACCUGGCCUUGACAUGUACUAGUAGAAGGGUGAAAGCCUGACGAGAUAGCAAUAUCAGGAUACACAGGUG
rnacentral:rRNA from 1 species